rnacentral:pre_miRNA from 1 species
AAUAAGAUCACUUUUUAGUUUUUUGAUACAAUGUUUUGACUCUUUGACUUAUUUAAAAUUUUUUUAUGAUUAAUAUUUUUGUUCUUACUAGAUGAUAAAAUAUGAAUAGUAUUUUAUGCAUGACUAUUUUUUAUUUUUUUAAGUUUUUAUAUGAAUUUUUUAAAUAAGACAAAUGGUUAAACGUUGGACACGGAAAA